rnacentral:misc_RNA from 1 species
AAGUCGUAACAAGGUUUCCGUAGGUGAACCUGCGGAAGGAUCACUAAAGAGAACUUGCCCUUCGGGGUAGAUCUCCACCCUUUGUUUAUCAUACUUUGUUGCUUUGGCGGGCCUGCCUCACGGCUGCCGGCGUAAGCUGGCUCGCGCCCGCCAGAGACCCCUAAACUCUGAAUAUUGUCGUCUGAGUAAUAUAUAAUAAGUUAAAACUUUCAACAACGGAUCUCUUGGCUCUC